AUUCCACAAAAUCGACUAGAACGCCACGCAGAUAUCAUGUAGUUCGUUGUGUCUUGAAAUCUUUCUGACUUUGUGAAGAAUCGACUAGAACGCCGCACCUGAGAUAUCAUGUAGUUGGUUGUGUCGUUUUUAAUCUUUCUGAAUUUGUGAAGGCGCACUUAAAGUAACCAAAGAAAUCUUAGUUGAAAGCAGAAGCAAAGACAUCAUGUAGUUCGUUGUGUCGUCUUCAAUCUUUCUGAAUUUGUUAAACAAAAGCAAAGACAUCAUGUAGUUGGUUGUGUCGUUUUUAAUCUUUCUGAAUUUGUGAGAUGGAGUCAAGAGAAGAAAGGAAUAAUUACUACAUUCAGAAAAUACUUACAGAUGUUGUUACGAAGAAACUUGUUGAUUUAUUUAUCCAAGAGUGGAGCAAUAAUUACGGAGUAUGGGAUAAUACAAGUGUUAGUGGUAAGAAGUUGUUCAACA